GUGCUGUGAUGAUUUUGCCAAAACAUCAUUCUGAUGUAGAUGGCGUUAACUUUUCAGUUACUGAGCACA